rnacentral:rRNA from 1 species
AGAGUUUGAUCCUGGCUCAGAGCGAACGUUAGCGGCAGGCUUAACACAUGCAAGUCGAGCGAGAAAGGGGCUCGGCUCCGAGUAAAGCGGCGGACGGGUGCGUAACACGUGGAUAAUCUGCCUCGUGGCGGGGGACAACAGUCCGAAAGGACUGCUAAUACCGCAUGUCAGGUCGGAAACUUCGGUUUCUGACGAAAAAGAGGGCGCCCGCAAGGGGCUCUCACCACGAGAUGAGUCCGCGUCCCAUCAGCUAGUUGGCGGUGUAAUAGACCACCAAGGCUUAGACGGGUAGCUGGUCUGAGAGGAUGACCAGCCACACUGGGACUGAGACACGGCCCAGACUCCUACGGGAGGCAGCAGUGGGGAAUAUUGGACAAUGGGCGAAAGCCUGAUCCAGCCAUGCCGCGUGAGUGAUGAA